GGGUGCGUGAUCCGGCGAUCGGAUCGGCAGGUGUCAGCGCUGGUCGGGCCGCCAGCG
rnacentral:ncRNA from 12 species